GCGCUCGCGAGCUGUAUGUGCAAAAUCCGCAAGGAAUUGCAGUAAAUUCCUUUUUGUUUGAAGAAAAUUUACAACUUGGUAAUAGACCUUUUUAUGACCUAUUUGCGGUCGUCAUUGGCUGCGGCUGGUCAUGUGCAGGCGCCGCUCGCCUUCACGGCCCUUUUCCUGAUUUCCCAGGCGAAUUUGCCCCCGCAUUCUGCUUUCCCAGAGCCUCACCCCCUCUUUUCCUAACCUUUGUCUCUGCAGAGGUGGGCUCCAGUUGCCGGCUGCGGAAUCGCGGGUCCGCAGCGGCCUGGGCUCCCGCCGUGACUUCACGUCAGCUCGCCCCAGGUCGCUAUCUCGGCCGCCUCCGAGCCAGCAGGGAGCCCGGAAGGAGCUCGAGGCGUCGAGCCCCCAGCCAGACUCACACUCCUACGGGGAGCUGACCGCCUGCUUCCCCGAGGCGACCCCGGCCGUGCGCUUCCCUCCCGGCCCCUCCAUCAACAUGAGCCCAAACCUGCCACGGAGAGUGGGAACAGCCGGGCAGCGCCGGAUGGAUUCCAGUCGCCUCCCGGGCCGCCCGCCCGAAGCUCGGCACCCUCCGGGUUAAGAGCAUACAAGUGCAGAUGCUCAGUUCCUGGAGCAGCGAUAGGAAAGUGAGAGGCUCCAGCCAGCACCGGGCUCAGGAGGAGACCAACGGCUCUACUCUCAGCCACCCUACCCACUAGAAAAGAAAAACAUUACACUUUGGGAUCUCAUUUUUUCCCUUGGAAGGAAAUGACCCUGCUCUGAACUGGGGAUGUGGAAAAGCGUUGUCCCAGCUGUGCUUGGUCCUUCUUAGAUGAGGAGGCAGGUUUGGAGGCUCGGAGGGGAAUUGGAAAUCAACCUGAAACGGGAAAAGGAGAACUGAAACUGUUGCCCUGAGGGAGCGGACAGGGAAUUGGGGUCCGGACAGAUAGGAUGUCUGCAGGCUCACCAGUGGACCUUCACCCACCCGCCUGCAGCAGAAGGAAAUGCACAAAGGCCUAUUUUUUCCUGACUUCCCAUUUCCCUACUAGAGAAAGCUUGCCUCGGGGGCCCGCCAGAGUCAGGCCUUAUAACCAGUAGGGUUUCCGCCCAAGGGUGCGUGAAAUGGGGGAGGUGGCCAGGACGGACUCUCGGACUCCUCAGCUCUGCCUUUGAGUAUGCGGGAGAACUUUGCACAGUUCCCGAAGGCGGUCUCCCCAAAGCAAGGAGCUCUAGGUAUUAGGGGAAAGUCGGGGCCUUGUUACUUUUCUGCACGCCAUCUAUUUCUGCUUUAUUACCCUGUGGAAUUUGAGUGACCCCGUUUUCACUGCAACAGGUUUCCGAGCGGCAGGGGAGAACCAGGGAGAACUUCAGUAAGUACCUUCCCUUUGGAGUAAAGAAAGGGCAGUGCUAAUGCUGGGAGGUGGUGGGGGAAGGUCCGCCAGAGCGGGGAUGGGAGGGUGACGGAGUGGCGCUGCCUCCCCAGGCUAGAACGGCCUGAGCUCAUUUGAGGGUGGGGGCGUGGAGGCUCCAGGUUGAGCCUUUAGGAAGCAUUUCUGGGGCCUAGUUCACAGUCACCCGCACAAGUAAACACAUUGCUGGAGCUGGCACUUGCCUUCCUGGACCUCCCAGGACCUUACAGGCCUUUUCCAAGCUUCCUAGGCUCACACAGGUGCAGCGGACAUGCAACUAAUUAGCAACCCAUCGCAUCAACGAACUACACUGCGGCAAGCACCCACUACUGCUAGAAUUGACACAGUAAACGCCAAGGCAACGGAGUUCCUCUCUGCAGUCCA